rnacentral:lncRNA from 1 species
CCUGAUUCUGAUUGUUCUGAAAUUUUUAGGGUUUGUGCAGAAUCACUUGGGUGUCUCAAUUAGGGUUUCCUAUUGGAUGAAAUAAUACAAUAAAUAAUAGUUUUGAUGAGGGUUGUUACAUUCUCCCCACCUUAAUAAAAAUCUCGUCCUCGAGAUUUGGUUCGGGCAUGGGCUGCUUGCUGCUGUUGCUGAGGCUGCUGUUGGUUUGUGCAGAAUCACUUGGGUGUCUCAAUUAG